GACGAACGCUGGCGGCGUGCCUAAUACAUGCAAGUCGAGCGCAGGAAAUCAUCCGAACCCUUCGGGGGGACGUUGAUGGAAUGAGCGGCGGACGGGUGAGUAACACGUAAAGAACCUGCCCUCAGGUCUGGGAUAACCACGAGAAAUCGGGGCUAAUACCGGAUGGGUCAUCGGACCGCAUGGUCCGAGGAUGAAAGGCGCUCCGGCGUCGCCUGGGGAUGGCUUUGCGGUGCAUUAGCUAGUUGGUGGGGUAAUGGCCCACCAAGGCGACGAUGCAGAGCCGACCGUAGAGGGUGAGCGGCCACACUGGGACUGAGACACGGCCCAGACUCCUACGGGAGGCAGCAGUAGGGAAUCUUCCACAAUGGACGAAAGUCUGAUGGAGCAACGCCGCGUGAACGAUGAAGGCCUUCGGGUCGUAAAGUUCUGUUGUAAGGGAAGAACAAGUGCCGCAGGCAAUGGCGGCACCUUGACGGUACCUUGCGAGAAAGCCACGGCUAACUACGUGCCAGCCGCCGCCGUAAUAC
rnacentral:rRNA from 1 species